rnacentral:rRNA from 1 species
UACGAAGGGGGCUAGCGUUGCUCGGAAUCACUGGGCGUAAAGCGCACGUAGGCGGACUCUUAAGUCGGUGGUGAAAUCCUGGAGCUCAACUCCAGAACUGCCUUUGAUACUGGCGAUCUUGAGUUCGGGAGAGGUGAGUGGAACUGCGAGUGUAGAGGUGAAAUUCGUAGAUAUUCGCAAGAACACCAGUGGCGAAGGCGGCUCACUGGCCCGGUACUGACGCUGAGGUGCGAAAGCGUGGGGAGCAAACAGG